UUUACUACAAAAUGUGUGUAGUUUGGACAUGAUCGGAGAAAAGGCCAAGGGCAACAUUUCUUCAAUAAAAGAUUUUGAUGACAUCAUAAAGAGAGAUGACGUCAUAGUCAUAAGAGAUACAUCAAAGGAUCAGUGAGGUUAUAAAUAGGACCCGUAUCAGCUCUCUACAGAGCUCUACUCCCUGCAGGACCUCCAGUUACCGGGUAGAGACCUUGCUCAACGGUGGGGAUCAUGUUUCUUCCACAGGUAGGCCACAAAAGGUAAGUAAGGUAAUCACUGUAUAACCAUGUUUCUUCCACAGGUAGGCUACAAAAGGUAAGUAAGGUAAUCACUGUAUCACCAUGUUUUAUCUCCACAGGUAGGCUACAAAAGGUAAGUAAGGUAAUCACUGUAUCACCAUGUUUUGUCCAAGAAUCUAGGCUAUCGGUUUACUACAAAAUGUGUGUAGUUUGGACUUGAUCAGAGAAAAGGCCAAGGGAAACAUUUCUUCAAUUAAACAUUUUGAUGACAUCAUGAAGAGAGACGAUGUCAUAGUCAUAAGAGAUACAUCAAAGGAUCAAUGAGGUUAUAAUUAGGACCCGUAUCAGUUAUCUACAGAGCUCUACUCCCUGGAUCAUGUUUCUUCCACAGGUAGGCUACAAAAGGUAAGUAAGGUAAGAACUGAAUAACCAUGUUGUUUCCACAAGUAGGCUACAAAAGGUAAGUAAGGUAAGAACUGAAUAACCAUGUUUCUUCCACAGGUAGGCUACAAAAGGUAAGUAAGGUAAGAACUGAAUAACCAUGUUGUUUCCACAGGUAGGCUACAAAAGGUAAGUAAGGUAAUCAAUGUAUAACCAUGUUUUGUCUCCACAGGUAGGCUACAAAAGGUAAGUAAGGUAAGAACUGAAUAACCAUGUUGUUUCCACAGGUAGGCUACAAAAGGUAAGUAAGGUAAGAACUGAACAACCAUGUUUCUUCCACAGGUAGGCUACAAAAGGUAAGUAAGGUAAUAACUGUAUAACCAUGUUUUGUCCAAGAAUCUAGGCUAACGGUUUACUACAAAAUGUGUGUAGUUUGGACUUGAUCGGAGAAAAGGCCAAGGGAAACAUUUCUUCAAUGAAAGAUUUUGAUGACAUCAUAAAGAGAGAUGACGUCAUAGUCAUAAGAGAUACAUCAAAGGAUCAGCAAGGUUAUAAAUAGGACCCGUAUCAGCUAUCUACAGAGCUCUAGUCCUGCAGGACCUCCAGUUACCGGGUAGAGACCUUGCUCAACGGUUGGGAUCAUGUUUCUUCCACAGGUAGGCUACAAAAGGUAAGUAAGGUAAGAACUGAACAACCAUGUUUCUUCCACAGGUAGGCUACAAAAGGUAAGUAAGGUAAACACUGUAUCACCAUGCUUUGUCUCCAAUGGUAGGCUACAAAAGGUAAGUAAGGUGAUCACUGUAUAACCAUGUUUUGUCUCCACAGGUAGGCUACAAAAGGUAAGUAAGGUAAUCACUGUAUCACCAUGUUUCUUCCACAGGUAGGCUACAAAAGGUAAGUAAGGUAAGAACUGAAUAACCAUGUUGUUUCCACAGGUAGGCUACAAAAGGUAAGUAAGGUAAGAACUGAAUAACCAUGUUGUUUCCACAGGUAGGCUACAAAAGGUAAGUAAGGUAAGAACUGUAUAACCAUGUUUUGUCCAAGAAUCUAGGCUAACGGUUUACUACAAAAUUUGUGUAGUUUGGACUUGAUCGGAGAAAAGGCCAAGGGCAACAUUUCUUCAAUGAAAGAUUUUGAUGACAUCAUGAAGAGAGACGAUGUCAUAGUCAUAAGAGAUACAUCAAAGGAUCAAUGAGGUUAUAAAUAGGACCCGAAUCAGCUAUCUACAGAGCUCUACUCCCUGGAUCAUGUUUCUUCCACAGGUAGGCUACAAAAGGUAAGUAAGGUAAGAACUGAAUAACCAUGUUGUUUCCACAGGUAGGUUACUGGUUUACUACAAAAUUUGUGUAGUUUGGACUUGAUCGGAGAAAAGGUCAAGGGCAACAUUUCUUCAAUUAAACAUUUUGAUGACAUCAUGAAGAGAGACGAUGUCAUAGUCAUAAGAGAUACAUCAAAGGAUCAGCAAGGUUAUAAAUAGGACCCGUAUCAGCUAUCUACAGAGCUCUAGUCCUGCAGGACCUCCAGUUACCGGGUAGAGACCUUGCUCAACGGCUGGGAUCAUGUUUCUUCCACAGGUAGGCUACAAAAGGUAAGUAAGGUAAUCACUGUAUCACCAUGUUUUGUUCCCAAAGUUAGGCUAUCGGUUUACUACAAAAUUUGUGUAGUUUGGACUUGAUCGGAGAAAAGGCCAAGGGAAACAUUUCUUCAAUUAAACAUUUUGAUGACAUCAUGAAGAGAGACGAUGUCAUAGUCAUAAGAGAUACAUCAAAGGAUCAAUGAGGUUAUAAAUAGGACCCGUAUCAGCUAUCUACAGAGCUCUGCUCCCUGGAUCAUGUUUUGUCUCCACAGGUAAGCCACAAAAGGUAGCCUACCUGACACAUUCACGGUGGGCUGAGAGAAGACUACUGUUACAAGCUGCUAAAUCAAGAGAAUCACAGCUUCUUCUUUUGAAAAGUACACAAACAUACAAAAAAGA